rnacentral:rRNA from 1 species
CCUACGGGUGGCUGCAGUGGGGAAUAUUGCACAAUGGGCGCAAGCCUGAUGCAGCCAUGCCGCGUGUGUGAAGAAGGCCUUCGGGUUGUAAAGCACUUUCAGCGGGGGGGAAGGCGGUGAGGUUAAUAACCUCAUCGAUUGACGUUACCCGCAGAAGAAGCACCGGCUAACUCCGUGCCAGCAGCCGCGGUAAUACGGAGGGUGCAAGCGUUAAUCGGAAUUACUGGGCGUAAAGCGCACGCAGGCGGUCUGUCAAGUCGGAUGUGAAAUCCCCGGGCUCAACCUGGGAACCGCAUUCGAAACUGGCAGGCUAGAGUCUUGUAGAGGGGGGUAGAAUUCCAGGUGUAGCGGUGAAAUGCGUAGAGAUCUGGAGGAAUACCGGUGGCGAAGGCGGCCCCCUGGACAAAGACUGACGCUCAGGUGCGAAAGCGUGGGGAGCAAACAGGAUUAGAUACCCUAGUAGUC